rnacentral:rRNA from 1 species
ACGCGUAAGAACUUGCCUCUUAGACCGGGACAACAUCUGGAAACGGAUGCUAAUACCGGAUAUUAUGGUUUUUUCGCAUGGAGGAAUCAUGAAAGCUAGAUGCGCUAAGAGAGAGCUUUGCGUCCCAUUAGCUCGUUGGUGAGGUAACGGCCCACCAAGGCAAUGAUGGGUAGCCGGCCUGAGAGGGUGAACGGCCACAAGGGGACUGAGACACGGCCCUUACUCCUACGGGAGGCAGCAGUGGGGAAUAUUGGACAAUGGACCACAAGUCUGAUCCAGCAAUUCUGUGUGCACGAUGACGUUUUUCGGAAUGUAAAGUGCUUUCAGUCGGGAAGAAGUCAGUGACGGUACCGACAGAAGAAGCGACGGCUAAAUACGUGCCAGCAGCCGCGGUAAUACGUAUGUCGCAAGCGUUAUCCGGAUUUAUUGGGCGUAAAGCGCGUCUAGGCGGCAAGGAAAGUCUGAUGUGAAAAUGCGGAGCUCAACUCCGUAUGGCGUUGGAAACUGCCUUACUAGAGUACUGGAGAGGUAGGCGGAACUACNAGUGUAGAGGUGAAAUUCGUAGAUAUUUGUAGGAAUGCCGAUGGGGAAGCCAGCCUACUGGACAGAUACUGACGCUAAAGCGCGAAAGCGUGGGUAGCAAAC